AGAGUUUGAUCAUGGCUCAGAUUGAACGCUGGCGGCAGGCCUAACACAUGCAAGUCGAACGGAAACGAUGGGUGCUUGCACCCAGGCGUCGAGUGGCGGACGGGUGCGUAACGCGUAGGAAUCUACCCAAUAGAGGGGGAUAACUCGAGGAAACUCGAGCUAAUACCGCAUAAUCCCUACGGGGGAAAGAGGGCCACUCCUUGGAAGCUCUCACUAAUGGAUGAGCCUGCGUCGGAUUAGCUAGUUGGUAGGGUAAAAGCCUACCAAGGCGAUGAUCCGUAGCUGGUCUGAGAGGACGAUCAGCCACCCCUGGGACUGAGACAC
rnacentral:rRNA from 1 species